AUUGAACGCUGGCGGCAGGCUUAACACAUGCAAGUCGAACGAGUGGCGGACGGGUGAGCAAUGCUUGGGAAUCUGGCUUAUGGAGGGGGAUAACGACGGGAAACUGUCGCUAAUACCGCGUACCAUAGGAUGAGCCCAAGUUGGAUUAGCUAGUGGGUGGGGUAACGGCUCACCUAGGCGACGAUCCCUAGCUGGUCUGAGAGGAUGACCAGCCACACUGGGACUGAGACACGGCCCAGACUCCUACGGGAGGCAGCAGUGGGGAAUAUUGCACAAUGGGCGCAAGCCGGAUGCAGCCAUGCCGCGUGUGUGAAGAAGGCCUUCGGGUUGUAAAGCACUUUCAGCGGGGAGGCGUUACCCGCAGAAGAAGCACCGGCUAACUCCGUGCCAGCAGCCGCGGUAAUAC
rnacentral:rRNA from 1 species